rnacentral:rRNA from 1 species
UGGGCGCAAGCCUGAUCCAGCCAUGCCGCGUGAGUGAUGAAGGCCUUAGGGUUGUAAAACUCUUUCACCGGAGAAGAUAAUGACGGUAUCCGGAGAAGAAGCCCCGGCUAACUUCGUGCCAGCAGCCGCGGUAAU